UUUCCGUAGGUGAACCUGCGGAAGGAUCAUUACCAAGAGUCCGCACCAGGUGUGGCUCAUACCUUACCCUUGCUUAUACGCACCUUUUUGUUGUUUCCUCGGCGGGUCCGCUCGCCGAUAGGAAGCCCAUCAAACCCUUUGCAUCAGCAUGAAAACUUCUGAACAAACCCUAAAUAUUUACAACUUUCAACAAUGGAUCUCUUGGUUCUGGCAUCGAUGAAGAACGCAGC
rnacentral:misc_RNA from 1 species